rnacentral:rRNA from 1 species
CGCGGCCUAUCAGCUUGUUGGUGGGGUAAUGGCUUACCAAGGCUACGACGGGUAGCUGGUCUGAGAGGAUGGCCAGCCACAUUGGGACUGAGAUACGGCCCAGACUCCUACGGGAGGCAGCAGUGGGGAAUAUUGCACAAUGGGCGGAAGCCUGAUGCAGCAACGCCGCGUGCGGGAUGACGGCCUUCGGGUUGUAAACCGCUUUCAUCCAUGACGAAGCUUUUGUGACGGUAGUGGGAGAAGAAGCACCGGCUAACUACGUGCCAGCAGCCGCGGUGAUACGUAGGGUGCGAGCGUUGUCCGGAUUUAUUGGGCGUAAAGAGCUUGUAGGCGGUUUGUCACGUCGGGAGUGAAAACUCAGGGCUUAACCCUGAGCCUGCUUCCGAUACGGGCUGACUUGAGGAAGGUAGGGGAGAAUGGAAUUCCUGGUGGAGCGGUGGAAUGCGCAGAUAUCAGGAAGAACACCAGCGGCGAAGGCGGCACUCUGGGCUGGUAUUGACGCUGAGGAGCGAAAGUGUGGGUAGCAAACAGGAUUAGAUACCCUGGUAGUCCACACCGUAAACGUUGGGCACUAGGUGUGGGGAGGAAUCAACCCUUUCCGUGCCGUAGCUAACGCAUUAAGUGCCCCGCCUGGGGA